UGGCUCCGGAUGAACGCCGGGGCGUGCCUAAUACGUGCAAGUCGAGCGAACAGACGAGGAGCCUGCUCCUCUGACCUCAGCGGCGGAAGGGUGAGUAACACGUGGGUAACCUACCUAUAAGACUGGGAUAACUCCGGGAAACCGGGGCUAAUACCGGAUAACACAUGAAACCGCAUGGUUUCAUGAUGAAAGACGGUUUUGCUGUCACUUAUAGAAGGACCCGCGGCGUAUGAGCUAGUUGGUAAGGUAACGGCUUACCAAGGCAACGAUACGUAGCCGACCUGAGAGGGUGAUCGGCCACACUGGAACUGAGACACGGUCCAGACUCCUACGGGAGGCAGCAGUAGGGAAUCUUCCGCAAUGGGCGAAAGCCUGACGGAGCAACGCCGCGUGAGUGAUGAAGGUCUUCGGAUCGUAAAACUCUGUUAUUAGGGAAGAACAAGGACGUAAGUAACUUGC
rnacentral:rRNA from 1 species